CCUACGGGAGGCAGCAGUGAGGAAUAUUGGUCAAUGGGCGCGAGCCUGAACCAGCCAAGUAGCGUGAAGGAUGACUGCCCUACGGGUUGUAAACCUCUUUUAUCAAGGAAUAAAGUGAGGCACGGGUCCCUCUGUGAAUGUACCUGAUGAAUAAGCAUCGGCUAACUCCGUGCCAGCAGCCGCGGUAAUACGGAGGAUGCGAGCGUUAUCCGGAUUUAUUGGGUUUAAAGGGAGCGUAGGUGGGUGCUCAAGUCAGUUGUGAAAGUUGGGGGCUCAACCGUAGAAUCGCAGUUGAUACUGGGAGCCUUGAGUGCGCGAAGGGUAGGCGGAAUUCGUGGUGUAGCGGUGAAAUGCAUAGAUAUCACGAAGAACUCCGAUUGCGAAGGCAGCCUACU
rnacentral:rRNA from 1 species